UGUGUGCAAAGCAGGGGACUCCAAAUUCUAAUUCGUCUUUUUGAUUAUGGAAAAUAUGAAUAGAGUUAACAUGAUCAAAACAAGCGUUAUUAGCGAAAAACAACUCAAUUGGAUUGAUUUAAAGAGUGCCUCUGUUGCAUAUAAUUUAAGGUUUUCUGCAUUCAUACAGAACAUCUCCUGUUAUACAGACUUCAACUGAGGAUACUUUGAGAAUGUUGUUUCUAAUUGAAAGAUCAGUGUACCAGACCAGACAAAGACAGUUAAAUCCGGACAGGACAUCACUUUGCCAUGUCGAGCUCCAAACAACACCAACAUGAUAGGUGUAAAGUGGAGGAGAGCUGACCUGGGUGAAGAAUAUGUCUAUUUGAACCGCCAAGGGCACCCUCAGCCACAAGACCAGCAUCCAUCUUUUAAGAACCGGGUGGAUCUGCAGGACAAACAGAUGAAGGAUGGAGACGUGUCUCUGAUUCUGAAGAAGGUGACGACUAAUGACACUGGAACAUACGAGUGUCUUGUCUUCAAGGAAGAAACACUUUCUUGGAUAUCUGUCUGCAACAUCACACUGAGUGUUGUUGAUCCUCCUGGAUCUGUUGGACUGAAAGUUGAUCCGUCAGUUAUUUUGCUGUUUUUGUUUUGUGUUUUCCUAGUUCCUAGGGUGAUCAUCAUCAUCAUCAUCAUCAUCAUCAUCAUCAUCAUCAUCAUUGUUGUGAUCUGUAGCAGACAAUGGAAAAAAUACCCUAUCUUAAAAAAAAUAUGUUCGUUCUUAACUGAAACCUCUCAUUUACCAACUAUUAAUGGUUAUGAGUCAGUUAAGGUUAUUGAUUAUAACAACGUAUAACAAUGACAUUUUUUUUUUAAAUAUUGCAAAUAUAAGCCUCGUUAUAAUAUUUUUAAACGAUGUAUUUACAAAAAAAACAACAAAAAAAAAACCAACACCCAACUCCCCUUUCCCCUUUUACCCCCCUCCUUGAAUUGCCACCUUAUCGUGGUGGAGGGGUUUGUGAGCUCAGAAGAUCCUGGGAGCUGAGUUGUCUGGAGCGUUCAGCUCCUGGUAGGGUCUCCCAUGACAAACAGGUCCCAGGUGAUGAGCCAGACUAAGAGCAAUUCA